UGGGGAAUAUUGGACAAUGGGCGAAAGCCUGAUCCAGCCAUGCCGCGUGAGUGAUGAAGGCCCUAGGGUUGUAAAGCUCUUUUGUGCGGGAAGAUAAUGACGGUACCGCAAGAAUAAGCCCCGGCUAACUUCGUGCCAGCAGCCGCGGUAAUACGAAGGGGGCUAGCGUUGCUCAGAAUCACUGGGCGUAAAGGGUGCGUAGGCGGGUUUCUAAGUCAGAGGUGAAAGCCUGGAGCUCAACUCCAGAACUGCCUUUGAUACUGGAAGUCUUGAGUUCGGGAGAGGUGAGUGGAACUGCGAGUGUAGAGGUGAAAUUCGUAGAUAUUCGCAAGAACACCAGUGGCGAAGGCGGCUCACUGGCCCGAUACUGACGCUGAGGUGCGAAAGCGUGGGGAGCAAACA
rnacentral:rRNA from 1 species